rnacentral:rRNA from 1 species
GACGAACGCUGGCGGCGUGCUUAACACAUGCAAGUCGAACGGUGAAGCGCCUUCCUUUUUGGUGGGUGUGGAUGAGUGGCGAACGGGUGAGUAACACGUGAGUAACCUGCCCCCUUCUUCUGGAUAACCGCAUGAAAGUGUGGCUAAUACGGGAUAUUCUGGGUCUGUCGCAUGAUGGGUCUGGGAAAGAUAUUGUUUCGGUGGGGGAUGGGCUCGCGGCCUAUCAGCUUGUUGGUGGGGUGAUGGCCUACCAAGGCGGUGACGGGUAGCCGGCCAGAGAGGGUGGACGGUCACACUGGGACUGAGACACGGCCCAGACUCCUACGGGAGGCAGCAGUGGGGAAUAUUGCACAAUGGGCGCAAGCCUGAUGCAGCGACGCCGCGUGAGGGAUGGAGGCCUUCGGGUUGUGAACCUCUUUCGCCAGUGAAGCAGGCCUGCCUCGUUUGUGGGUGGGUUGACGGUAGCUGGAUAAGAAGCGCCGGCUAACUACG